UGAGGAAUAUUGGUCAAUGGGCGCAAGCCUGAACCAGCCAUCCCGCGUGAAGGAAGAAUGCGCUACGCGUUGUAAACUUCUUUUCCAGGGGGAGAAUUUUCCUGUCGAGACAGGGAUUGACGGUACCCUGGGAAUAAGCAUCGGCUAACUCCGUGCCAGCAGCCGCGGUAAUACGGAGGAUGCGAGCGUUAUCCGGAUUUAUUGGGUUUAAAGGGUGCGUAGGCGGAUUGAUAAGUCAGUGGUGAAAUUCUGCAGCUUAACUGUA
rnacentral:rRNA from 1 species